GGUGGUUUCGUAUAGUGGUUAGUACAACACGUUGUGGUCAUUCCAAAUCAUAAACCGUGUAAACCUGGGUUCGAUUCCCAGAACUGCCA